rnacentral:lncRNA from 1 species
UCCUUUUUCUCCCCAAAGCCCCCUGGUACAUAGUUGUGUAUUUUUAGUUGUGGGUCCUUCUCGUUGUGGCAUGUGGGACACCGCCUCAGCGUGGCCUGAGGAGCGAUGCCACGUCUGUACCCAGGAUUCGAACUGGCAAAACCCCCAAACCGCUGAAGCGGAGCGUGUGAACUUAAGUGCUUGGCCAUGGGGCCGGCCCCCUGGUUUCUUUUUCUAUUUUAAAAUUUUCCCCUCAAAACUUUUUAUUACGAAAAAUUCAAAACUCAGAGAAAGGUUAAAAGUAAAGUAAAAUGAAUUUCCCUGGACCCUGCACCGAGAUGGGACAACUGUUCUCAGGCUCCUGGAAGCCACCUGUAGACCUUCUGACGCUUCACUCCUAAAUGCUUCACAGACGUCUCCUAAGAAGAGGGACGCGCUCUCACACAGACUGUCGUUUUCACACCUGGGAAGUCAGUCAGAAUUCAACAGCAUCGCUUACUCCCCAGUCCGUGCCUGAGUUUCCCCAGCUGCCCUAAGUUUUCCGUGGCUGCUGCUUGUCAGUCAGAAUCCAGCCGAGGCUCACGUGUUGCACUCAGCUGUUACACCUCUUUAGUCAUUUUUCGUCCAGAACAGUCCCCUCCCUUUGGCUCUUUUCCUUUCACCUCCUUCUUUUCCUUUCUUUUGUUUGUUUGACAUGGACUCGGCCGCUGUCUUACGGAAGCUCCCACGUCUGCGUCUCUGACAGUCUCCUCGCGGUGCAGCCCACCCUCCGUCCUCUGUGAGCGCCCAGAGGCGGAACAUCAGAUCCAUAGGGUCACCCGGACUCGGGUUGCACAGUUUGGGGGAGAAGACCUCCCAGGUGACGAGGUGUCCUUCCUAUUGGAUCUCAUCAAGAGGUGCGUGAUGUCAGCUUGUCCCGCACACAGUGACGCUGACCUGGAUCGGCAUUCGGGUGGGGACACCAGGCGCCCCCAGGUAACGGCAUCAUGCCCCUCUGCAGUUAGCGUCACCUGUGGAGGUACUUUCGCACCAUGUGUGUUCUGGUCCCUGACCACCUUUAGGUAGAUAGCUUUAGCUUCAUCGAUGGUCCUUGGCUGAGACAAGUAAUACGCCUGCAAGGUGGUAGCCUUCUAACCCUGCCAUUCCUUCAGCAUUUCUUAGCUGGGGUUUUCUGCAAAGGAAAGCUUUCUUUUUAUUUCCUCUUCUGAGAAAAACAUACAGAAAAUAACCAUGAAUAAUAUAUCAAAACUCAUAUUUCACCACUUAGAAUUAUGUUAAAAUGUUGGAAUACUUUCAAUUUUAUUUAUUUUUGUUGUUAUUGAGGAAGAUUCACUCUGAGCUAACAUCUAUUACCGUCUCCCUCUUUUUUUGCUUGAGGAAGAUUAGCCCUGAGCUAACAUCUGUGCCAAUCUUCCUCUAUUUUGCCUGUGGGUUGCCACCCCAACGUGGCUGGACAAGCGGUGUAGGUUCACACCUGGGAUCCGAACCCUUGAACCCAGGCCACCGAAGCAGAGUGCACUGGACUUUGGCCGCUACACCAUGGGGCCAGCCGUCCAAUUUUUUUUAAGAAGGAAAACAUUACAGUGAAAGCUCUGAAAUGGCCCCCACCCCCAUCUCCUCUCCUCACUGGGAGAAACCACCAGCAGAAAUGUGGCUCUUCGUUCCAGUGUCAUUUUUAUACUCUUAUAAGCGUGUGUUUAUCUAUGAACAAUACCACAUGUAGCACUGUUUUGCAUGAGUUAUUUUAAAUUUUUUUAUGUAAAUAGUAUUCCGUAUAUAUCAUUAUGCCUCUUCCUGUUUUCCCCCAACACUGCUGAGAUGGUAUGAAUUCGUAGACAGCUAGCCUGUCCCUUUGCGCUCUGUGGGCUUCCACACUCACUCCUCCUUCCCUCCUCUGUUGAGGGAUGCUGUUUCCACUUCCUUGCUGUUACGAGCAAUGCUGUUCUGGGCAGACCUGUGCACACCUCUUUGUGCAAAUAUCUGAGAGUCUCUCUCUAGUGGAUGUUCUCAAACCGGAUGUCUGAAUCGUGGGGUCUGCCCUUUCCUAGUUUCAGUAGGUAUUGGCAAAGUGGCCACACUAAUACUCACUCCCACUAGCAACAUGUGACUGUCCCCAGUGCCCCAUGUCUUGACUACGUGGGAAAGUAUCAGACUGUUCCAUUUAGUAUGAGACUUUUUGGCAGUCUAACAGGUGAGAAAUGGUACCUUGUUCCUUUAAUUUACAUUUCCCAAUUGUACACUAGUGAGGCUGCACACAGAACUUACUGGCGCUGGGAGCAGGAGCCACAACCUGAAGCCUUGCCGCCACUGGGAAGGAAGGCCCCUGAAGCCUCCCGAAGCCCCUCCAAAGCCAGGAGAGGUGCUACAUUAGCAACAAUCAGGUGGACAUCGUGGAGAGAGCGUAAUCAUUCUCAAUUCACAGUGUCUCUAUAUUUGUAUUAAUAAUAACACUUGUCACUUAUUACUGGCUUACCAAGUGCCAGGCACUUUAUAGACCUUAUUUCACCCUCUCGGGAAUUCAUUUAUUAUUAUUCCCACUUUCCUGAAGAGGAGAUUGAGGGUGAGGGAGGUACAGACACUUUCCUAAGGUCGUUGUAGAGCUGGUAAGUGCUCGGCCUGCCGUGCCCGCACCCGUUCCUCUGGACAGUGUUGCGUCCCCACACUCUGCACACGUGCCCAGGGAGCUCCCGGAGAGAAGACGAGACAGCUUCUCACAAAGGAGAGUCAGGUUCUGGCUUUCCCACCCCUCCCCUUGGCUAUGAGCAGAGGAAUUGUUUAUUUUCCCAAAGUGCAGCCUUGCAAAUAGCUCCCAGCCCACUGGCCCAGGUUUCUGGAUUGGGAGGCGGACACAGAAGGCAGCUGAAAGUGCUUCUCUCUCACUGCGGCUCAGCAAGGAGAGGUGCGUCGGAGAGCUCUUCAUCUCCUAGUGUUUGCAUUGCUGCGGCCAGGGUAGGUGGGGAAUGAACCAACGAGACUCCACGCUGGGGAACUUUUAUAUCUGAAGUGUAAGAGCAAAGGGCUCUCUCUCUCUCUCUGUCUCUCUUUCUGUUCCUGUCUCUCUCUGUCUCGGUCUCGGUCUCUGUCUCUCUCUCUUUGCCUCUCUGUCUCUGUCUCUCUGUCUGUCUCUGUCUCUGUCUCUCUUUCCAAGCCCUCUGUUAUACAUAUGGUGUUGGGCACGAAUAUUUCCAGACUUUUCCAUCGUCACCUGGACUCUGGAAGAGGAGUAUCUUACAGACUUCAGGUCUGGCCUACCCAUUUUGUAGAUGGGAAAGCUGAGGCAUUGAAACGUCUAGGCUCUGGGCUGCUUGAGGACACCAAGGUGUCGACUUGUCCCCAGAGCCCAGCAAGGCAUUCAGCACACAAUAUACAUUUCACUAAUAGACAUUGCAUGAGUCAAUGAAUGAAUGAGAAGUUUGGCAGUUAAAAACAAAUGAACAAAACCCUAAAGCUUUUGUUUUUUUUGGGUCCUACUGGGUGGAGGUGACCAAUUCGAGGAAGAAGAACCAAUGAACCGGGUCCUUCGUGAGAAGAUGGGGCCAGGCCCCACUGUGAGGUGCUCGGUGACUCAGUCAGCACUCCCAUCCACAGACCACUGACUCACUUACGUCCUGUGUGGGGAGAAGUACAAAGCCAGGAACAGAAUCUGGACAAGGCCCCAGACGGCCGGGCCCCACUGCCUCCCUGCUCUCCUUUCCCACCUUCCCGCUCACUCUGGGAGAUAUGCCAGACACAUCCCCACCUCAGGCCUUUGUCUCUGCUGUUCCCCCUGCCGGGAACCCUUAGCCACCGGCUCUUUGCUUGACUGAGCCUCAGCUCCAACAGCACCUCCUCAGAGAAACCUUCCCGACCACCGCAGCCGUCGCUGCCGCUGUGAUCCAGUUUAUUUCCUUCUGAGCGCUUACUUCUGCUCUGAACGAGCCAGCCUGUUCCUGCCCUCCUGCUGGGUCCUCUGCUGCCCCACCACAGUGUAAGCUCCAGGAGGCCCUGCUCCAGCUUGAUGUCACCAUGUCCUUGGUGCCUGGAGUUGCGUGCGGCAUGUGAAAAGCACCCAAUGCACAAGUGCUGUAUGAGUGAGAAAAGGGGCUGGAGCUGACUUCCGCACCAAGGCCUCUGGGCCCCCUUACAGGUAAGCAGCAGGAGCAGCCAGAAGAGGGAUCCGGGGCCCCACGGUGAAGGCGAUGGCGUGUGUGCACGUGCAUGUGUGGGUGCGUACUGGGUGGGCACUAGGCGAAUAAUGAGUGACCACAGUUAGUUGAACACCUACCAUGUGCCAGACACAAACUUUCUUUUAAAUCGCUUCAUCCUCAGAAUAAGGCAGAUGCCACCACGACCCCCAGUUUACAGGUAAGGGAGUCCGGCCUCAGGGAGACUGAUCAUUUUGCCCACAGUGGAGGAUGUGGUAGAGUGGAGAUUUCCUCCCACAGUCUCUGCCCCCAGAGCCUGUGCUCUUCCUAGCAGUGCUGGAAGAGCCAGGGCUGUUACAAAUUUUUUUUUUUUUUUUUUUUUGAGGAAGAUUAGCCCUGAGCUAACUACUGCCAAUCAUCCUCUUUUUGCUGAGGAAGACUGGCCCUGAGCUAACAUCCAUGCCCAUCUUCCUCUACUUUAUACGUGGGACGCCUGCCACAGCAUGGCUUUUGCCAAGCGGUGCCAUGUUCGCACCCGGGAUCCGAAAUGGCGAACCCCGGGCCGCUGAGAAGCGGAAUGUGCGAACUUAACCACUGCGCCACCAGGCCGGCCCCAAUUUUUUUUUAUAGAUAUUUGGAUUUUUUUUUUUUAAAGAUUUUAUUUUUUUCCUUUUUCUCCCCAAAGCCCCUCGGUACAUAGUUGUAUAUAUUCUUCGUUGUGGGUCCUUCUAGUUGUGGUAUGUUGGACGCUGCCUCAGCGUGGUUUGAUGAGCAGUGCCAUGUCCGUGCCCAGGAUUCGAACCAACGAAACACUGGGCUGCCUGCAGCGGAGCGCGCGAACUUAACCACUCGGCCACGGGGCCAGCCCCUGUUACGAAUUUUCAUCAGGCCCAGAUGUGAGCCUGAGCUCCUGCUUGAGCUGAUGCUCUUCUGCCCAGGGACCCCCGGCCCUCUCAGAGAGGACAUGCAGGCCUAGAAGCAGAGCUGUUCACUUAGGCCACAAGCACUAAUUGAGCGCCUACUGUGUACAGGGAUGCUGGGGAUACAGCAGUGCUUAAGUGAAAGUUCCUGUGCCCGUGGAGCCCAUGGUUAGGGGUGGUGGGGGCACACCAACAUGAGCAGCGGAUGGAAGGUCAGACGCUGGUCUGCACUGAGGUGAGUGGGUGCAGACUCAGGAGUGCUUAAAGGGGGGCUGGGCUGGGGUGGCCUAGACGGGUGCACAGGCAGCCUGCAAAGGUCUAGGGAAAGGGUGGUCCAGGCAGUGGGUGCACUUAGGAGUGCGUGAACUUGGCGUAUCAAUGGGGUAGGAAACCGGGCCUGUGGGGGUGGGCAUGGGAGGAAGGGAGAAAUGUUUACAGAACGGAGGAAUGAUUGAAACAACAUUCUGGGCCCCUUCAGAGCCUGGCACAGAGAAGACCCUCAUAAAUUGAAUUGAACUGAAUUUGAUGAAUGAUUAAUCCCCUGCUUGGGAAAAACAAAAAAUAAGAUAACAGUUCCUGGGGCGGCCUAUCUGACAGGGAGAUUCCCUCCGGGAAGAGAGCAGGCGAGCACUGAUCUCUGGGGUUAGCAAACCAGAGCAAUACGUGCAGCCUAGCACGUCUCAGGCUGCAGAAGCAGAAUUUAAAAGUUUGAGUAAAGGAGAAAAAAUUGCAGGAUUUGAGUUUAAUCUCCUGCUACUCUGGAAGGUGAGUCUGUCUCCCCCUUCUUCCUGGUAAGGGGGAUCCCGGCUCUGGCCCAGCUCUGGGCCUCAGCACCACAUGACUGGACUGGCUUGGUCGUUUCAGCUCUGGAUCUGAAGUGGCAAAGGACACAGCGGCUGCAGGGUGGAAAAGUAAGAUCCUGCUGCCAGCUGCCUGCCCUGAAACAUUGAUUGACAUUUCAGCUUGGAUGCCUAUAAUAAAGAUAGCUAAUGAAGCGAUGCGUGGUACAAGUAUGAUGACACUUUAGAGAUGAGGAAAACAAGGCUCAGAGAGAGUAAAUCACCUACUAAACCAAACAUAUGCAAAACCACUUCCUCUUCCAGUCUUGCCCAUUUCAGUAAAUGACACCACAGUUUACUGAAUUCCUCAAGUCAGAAAUCAGGGGAUGAUCCUUCGUUCUUUCCUUUCCUCACUCCCACAUCUUACCCAUCACCAGUUUGUCUAUUCUCACUCCGAAACACAGAACAUCCUCCACUCGGCUAUUUCCCUCGCAUCCCCACUGCUGUUACCCUCCUUGUACCAACAUCUGUCUGCUGAGCCGCUCACCGUCUGCCUUCUGCCUCAGCCUCUGCUGUCCACUCUCUUCCAGCAGUGGUGAGCGAUCUUCUCAAAACAUAAGCCAGAUGUAGUAUCAGUCGCUCACUGAAAACUCUCUAACGGUUUCCCAUUGGCUUUUUUUCCCUCUCUACUUCUGAUAUUUUUCUCUUUUAUUUUUUGAUUUCCAACGUUAUUGUGUUGUGCCUAGAUGUGGUUUUCUUUGUAUUUGAGGGUUCAUAGACCUUCUCAAAUACAUGGCUUGAUGUCUCUCAUUCAUUUGAAAAUAUUCUUAGUCAUUACCUCUUAACUAUUACAGCCGCCCAAUACUUUCUCUUCCUCUUCUUCUGAGGCUCCACUUAUACCUACAUUAGAUCUGUUAUACCACGUCCCAUAUGUCUCUUACGCUCUUUUGUCUCUUCAGUCUGGAUAUUUUCCUCUGACAUAUCUUUCAGUUCCUUACAUCUCUCUUCGGCUGUAUCUAAUCAGCUAAUAAAAUUAUCUUUUUUGUUCUUAAUUUCGGUUACUCUAUUCUUCAGGUCCACAAUUUCCAUUUGAUUCCCCCUUUGUUUCUUUCUUUUUUUCUUUUUUGGGUUUAUGUCCUUCCAGUCUUUUCUUAAAUAGUAGGUUUUAUUUUUUUAGAGCAGGUUUAGGUUCACAGCAAAAUUGAGCCGGAAAUAUAGAGAACUCCCACAGACACCCGGCCCCAACACAUAUAGCCACCCCCACCAUCAACACCCACCAUCACAGCGGUAUGUUUGUUACGGUGGAUGAACCUUCAGUGACACAUCAUCAUCACUGGAAAUCCAUAGUUUACAUAGGCUUCACUGUUGGUGUAUAUUCUACAGGAUUUGACAAAUUUAUAGCGACAUGUAUUCGCCAUGAUACUAUUGUACAGAAUAUUUCACUGUCCUAAAACUCCUCUGUUCUCUGGUCAUUCAUCCCUCCCUCCACCCUGACUCCUGGUAACUACUGAUCUUUUUUUUUUUUGAGGAAGAUUAGCCCUGAGCUAACUGCUGCCAAUCCUCCUCUUUUUGCUGAGGAAGACUGGCCCUGAGCCAACAUCCAUGCCCAUCUUCCUCUACUUUAUACAUGGGACGCCUACCACAGCAUGGCUUUUGCCAACCAGUGCCAUGUCCGCACCCGGGAUCUGAACCAGUGAACCCCAGGCCUCAGAGAAGCAGAACGUGCGAACUUAACCGCUGCACCACCAGGCCGGCCCCACUACUGAUCUUCUUAUUAUCUCCAUAGUUUUGCCUUUUCCAGAAUGUCAUAUAGUUGGAAUUAUAGUAUGUGGCCUUUUCAGACUGGCUUCUUUCACUUAGCAAUAGGCAUUUAAGAUUCCUCAUUGUCUUUUCGUGGCUCGAUAGCUCAUUUCUUUUUAGAGCUGAGUAGUAUUCCAUUCUGCAAGCAUACUAAAGUUUAUUUAUUUCUUCACCUACUGAAGGAUAUCUUGGUUGCUUCUAAGUUUUUGCAAUUAUGAAUAAAGCUCCUAUAAAUGUCCAAGUGCAGGUUUUUGUGUGGAUAUAAAUUUUCAACUCAUUUGGAUGAAUACCAAGGAGCAUGAUUGCUGGAUCACACAGUGACAGUAUAAUUUAGUUUUAUGAUCCCCUUUUCUAGAGUCCCAUUCAUUGCCAAAAUUCUCCAUCUUGUCUUUUAACUCACUGAACAUUUAAUCAUAGUUGUUUUAAAGUCCAUGUCAGAUAAUUCUAUUUUCUGGAUCCCCUUGAAUUUGGUUUUAUUGUUUGUGCGAUUUUUUUUCCCCCCAAUUUUUGGCCAAGUCUUGUUUUUUUGUAAACCUGGACAUUCAAUAUGAAAAAUUACAGAGAUAAUUUGAUCCCCUUACUUUUGCUUCUGGCAGGAAGCUCAGUGGAGACCACUGGAACAGUCCCAGAUUGCCUUAGUCACUGAGGACCUGAGCUGGCUUGCAGUCAGGAUUCAGUCCCUGGGAGGGCUGGUCUAUUUCUUGUUCUUAACAUGCAGCCUUCAGGAGCCCGGCCCAAAGUCUUGGAUGUUUCGUGAACCCCUCCUCCUUGGUAGGUUCCAGACUCCAAGCUCCAUGAGUCUGGUGAGAGCUCUGCUCAGCUUCCUAGCCUCUCAGAUGUCACUUUCAAGUCAGCCAUCACCUUGAGGGGGAAAGUAGCGUCUGUUGCCAGCUUUGCCUCCCUGGGCAUCCAUCCUUUCCUAGACCUCGGCCCCAUGAUUCUUGUAAUUUCUCAUUGCAUUGAUGGUACCUUCAGACAGAUGUGUUUUUCUUUCUAAUUUUAUCCAGUUUUCUAGUGUUCUCAGCAGGAGGAAUGGUCUGAAAUAAUCUACUCCACCAUUGCCGGAAGUCCUCCAAUUAUGUUUAGAGAAAAGUGAAUACUCCUUGUCCUGCCUACCAGCUUCCUGCCAUACCAUUCUCUCCCUUGCUUGCGACACUGUAGUGAAAUGUGGGGCUUUUUCCUAUAACUUGAAUAUGACAAGCUCCUUCAUGCCCCAGCACCUUUGCACCCACUUUCCCCUCUGUCUAGAAUGUUGUUUCCUUUACUUCAUUUUCCAGGCCUCUGUUUAAAUGUCAGUUCUUCUGAGAGGCCUUUCCUGACCUUGCAUUCUAACUCAUUCAGCUGUACACUCACACCCUGUUCCACGUGGCCGCUCUUGUAUACACCCUGCUCUUCCCUUCACACCACUUACCACAAUUUUUAAUUAUAUAUUGAUCUAUUAUCCUUUGUUGGUUGUCUGUCUUCCCACCACAGGGAAGUCCUGCGAGGCCAGGGUUGUCUGAGUUUGGGCUCCCUCACAGGCAGGCCCUGAGAUGAAGAUUAAGCACACGUUGUUUUUUGGGAAUUGCAGGUAAUAGGGAGGGAAGGCAGCCAAGAAGGGGUGCGAUUAUGCAGUGACCACGGUGGGCAGCGGAGCCAUCCUGCGAGAAAGCUGGGGAACAUGGCACAAAACUCAUGCCCAGGCGGGGGCUGGGCAUUUACACACCAGUUCCUGCCAGGCCUGCUGGUGGGGGCUGCUCCUGGGGUCCACAGAGUCCCUGGUGCUGCUGCCCUGCAGCUGGCACAGAGCCCCACAGAGGGGCGGCAGGCUCGGCCUGGAAGGCAUCUGGGCGCAGGGAAGCAGGAGGACCUGAGAGGGUCCACAGGGCCCUGCCAGGACGGCUUCUGUUCGGGGGACCAUUUUAUUCCCAGCCCCAGACACGGGGCCUGGCAGGCAGUAGGAAGUCAAUGAUGACAUGUUGAAUAAGUGCACUUUUAGAACUCCGUGCCAGGUUUAGAACCUAGCUCUCCAAACGGGCUCGCCAUGGUAUUAAAGAUAAUUGUCGGGACCCUGCUGCCGGCCAGGCGCCUUCGAGGGCAGGAAGGGGCUUUCCAUAAGAGCAGAGUAAUCAGAGGAGGGCGCCCCACAGCCUGGAGCCUGGUCUUUUUGAAGAACGAGACUGUGCACCCUGUGGAGAAGAAACGUCUCAGCGACAGUCCUCACGUGCCCCGGGCCAUCCUAGGGGUCAUCCCGCAUAGACUGCACGGGCGAGAAGGCCCCGGUGGAUGGUGCUCUGCCAGCUUGGAGGAGAGCUUCCGCACUCUGCACUGCUCAGAGGCGGCCCCAGCUGAGGCGGGAGCUCCCUGCCACUGCUCCUCCAGGAGAAAACUAGGUCCCGGCCCUCAGAGCGCCUGCUGCCUGGUUGAGAGGACAAGACGUCCCUCUGCGUAGCGCUGGACGAGAAGGACAGGCCCGCACACAACAGCUUGAGGCGAAAACACUCAGACUCGGUUUCUGGUUCCCAGAGUGCACGCUGGGCCGCCAGGCGGAGGAGGCGCUGAGGCAGGAGUCAGUGGUUCUGUUGAUUCAUCUGUAUGAUCUUAGUGCUGUGUUUCAAAGGGCCCGCUCGGUCCAGUGCUGGAUGGGGCCUGCUUGUACAAGGCGCCCUUGUUGGGUUUCAGAGCACCUGACACCUGGAUUGAGAUGCUGACAAGCCCAGGAAGGGGCUGGAAGGAAAGUGGGGCCACCCCUGGGAAACACACCGGGGUCUCCGAUAGCUUUGUCCUGUGUCUCCCACUGUGUUUUGUUUUAUAUGUCGACUUGGCUGGGCUACAGAACCCAGAUGUUUGGUUCAAUACUAGUCCAGAUGCUGCCGUGAAGGUGUUUUUAUGUAAGAUUAACAGUCAAAUCAGUAGACUUUGAGGAAAGCAGAUGAUCCUCCCUAGUGUGGUGGGCCUCAUCGAAUCAGUUGGAGGCCUUAAGAGAAAAUGACUGCGACUCCUGAUGGCCUCUGGACUCCAGCUGUAACAUCGCCUCUUCCCUGGGUCUCCAGCCCGCCAGCCUGCCCUACAGAUCUUGGACUUGCCAGACCCCACAGCUGCAUGAGCCAACUCCUUAAAAUAAAUCAACCUUUCUCUCUCAGAAUAUUGGUUGUUUCUCUGGAGAACGCUUGGCCUGUAUUCAGCACACGUAAUCAUAAUGACAGCACUCCAAUCCUUGUCUGCAGCCGGGCUUCCCCUCUGCACCCAGCCUUGGGUACCCAUUAUCCUCCUCUGUGCCUCCUCUUGGCCUCCUCACAGGCAUCUCAGACUUACCGCAGCCACAGUGAGCUCCUUGGCCUGCCACCUGGCUGUGCCCGUCUCAUAACCAGCAGCCCCACACGUCGAGCUGCCCAGGCCGCAAACCCUCAGAGUUGCCCUCGGCUUCUCUCCCCUUCUUUCUCCGCGUCUCCCCACUUCAAACAACCCAGCAGCAAACCCUGCUGGCUUUGCUUUCAAAACGCUCCCGGCAUCCUCUGACCUCCUCUAGCCACCGUCACACCUGCUUCAAGCCACGCUCACCUCGCCGCUGGAUCAUGGCGACACACUUCUCCAGGGCCUGUGGGGUGCCCCCAUAGCCGUCCUUGCUCCGUGGCUGGUAGGGAGGCGUCCUGUGAGCACUGCUGCAUCUCGUCCUCUGGUGCUGAAGCUCUCCCCCGGGCACUGGCUUUGCUCGGGGCCACGCUGUGCGCUCACCAGCACACGGACCCCCAUAACCUAGACUCCUCCCGCCCACCGCCCCUUGCUCACUCUUUUCCACUCACACUGGCUCUUUGCUCUUCCUGAAACAGGCCAGGCGUGCGCCUCCCUCAGGCCCCAGCAUCGGCCCCUCCCUCCCCUGGAGUGCCCUUUGUCCAGCAUCAGCCUCAAUUCCCUCCCUUGCCCUUUGCCCAAAUGCCCCCUUCUUGGUGAUUCUUUCUUGACUUCCUCUUUAAAACUACAUUCCCCUCACCCCCACUCCACAGUCCCCCUGGUACCCCAGGUCCCUGGGUCCCCUGGGUCUGGACUAAUGCCCUUCCUGCCCAGCCCCAUGCAUUCAGGAGCAGCGUGAGCCGCCUCAGGCCGAGGCUCGCAGCUGGACAAAUCUCUGAGGCCCCACAGCCAAAACCUAGUUUCUUUUGUUAAUUAAAGUUUCAGAUAUUCACUAAGACACGACUCACACGCACUUAAGUGUGCAGCUCAGAGGACUGUCACAGACUGAGUGCACCAGCCCCAGAGCAGGGACGAGGACACGCCCAGCCCCCCAGCCUCUGCCCUCCCAAUGUAGCCACUGUCCUGACAUCCAGACCCCUGGCCCGCCUGGGGCGGCACCACACCCACAGGGAACGGUAACACCUCCGCUUUUAAACGAACUUGUAAUUUUGGAAUGAUUUUAGAUUUACAGAAGAAUUGACAAGCUGCCAUGGGGAGUUCUCCUAUAGCCUCCGUCCAGCUUUCCCUAACAUGGACACCUCACAGACCGCGGUGCACUCGUCAGAACUGAGAUGGCGACACCGGUGCGACACUGUUGGCUAAAUCAUCAAGUUAACUACUAACUACUGCUGUUAGGGGAAUGAUAAAGACUGCCGUCUCUACUUGAUUUCACGGUUUGUCCCUGAACUCCUGUGUCUGUUCCAGGAGCCCACACUCUGCAUGGACUUGUCCUGUCUCCUCAGUCUCCUCUGGCUCGUGGCAGGUUUCUCUGUCUUUCCUUGUUUUCCCGACUGGGACAGUACCCAGGAGCACCAGGGAGGAGCCAACAGGGUAAAUUUCAGAGCCCACCGGGAGCACAUCUAUCGAGGACAUGGGUGACGGGCUGGGAAGGGGCCCGGAGGAGGGGACCAGGUGGGAGGGCACUUCUGCAGAGAGCCGUCCGUGCCAUGGCCUCCCCUCCCCCGGGUCUGCUCCUGGUGCCUGGCGCUGCCCCAUCCCUCAGGAGGAACCCAGAGAGCGCUGCUGUGUGGGUGACACCAUCAACAGUGAGCGUGUUAGAAAUUCAGACUGAGUUAACGACCUGUCUAUUGGCUGAUUGGUUUUAAAAUAACACUAAUAAACCCACUACUUGUUAGGAUAAAUAAGACAUCGUCGUGAGAAAUUCGUUAUGUACUGAAAGGAAGUCAGUGAGAAGAGCGGUACUGUGGUCCGUUGUCACAGGUCUCUGCGGGUCCGGCUUGAGAGGGACAAGGGAAGACGACCCCACACCUGCCCGCGGCCAGUCUGUGGCGACGUGCUGCUUGGUGCAUCCGAGGACUUUCCAGGAUCAGAAAGUGACAAGAAAAGCCGUGGGCGGCUCAGGUCUUCAACGGGGCGGAAAGUUCCCCACUGAACACAGUCAAGGGACAGAAAGGACACAAUGCAAGUUGCAUCAGGCUGGUUCUACACCCUUGUGAGGGGUUUUCUGGAAAGUUCCUAAUCGUAGCCCUCCUCUCCUCUGCCCGCCAGCCCUGUGGUCCCCGGCCACCAGCUCAGGCCCUCCCCGCCCUGGCUGUGCGCUGGGAGGAGCUGGGAGGCAGGGGGAGCCUUUAAAGAGUCGGCAGUUCCCCCUGGCCCAGGCUGGUUUCCCUGCGACCUGUGUGGGUCCCGCUCGAUCCGACACAGGACAGAGGGCUGAGGGUGUGGUUGUUUUCUUCUUUAUCGAGGAUGACUGAAAUAUAGUGGAGUGCACAGAUCUUGUGUGCAGCUCGCUGAACAAUGACACAUGAACACCCCCAGGUAACCAGCACGCAGAUGGAAACAUGAAUUUCCAGCCCCACAGCAGGCCCCAAGGCCUGCCCCUCCCACCAGGUAACCUCUAUCACCAGGGACUGGCUUUGCCUGAUCUUAAACUUCACAUGAAUGGAAUCACAGUGUCUACUUCUGUGGGUCAAGCUCCUCUCACUCAAUGUUCCGUUGAGGUUCGCUUGUGGCGUCGAGGGUAGCCUAAUCACCCAUUUGCCCUGCUGUGUAGGAUUCCGUUCCAUGAAUACACCUCAGUUCUUCCAUCCAUCCUCUUGUCGAGGGAACUCUGGGAAGUUCCUGCUUUGGGGCUGUAAGAGCACUGCCGUGAACGCUCUUUUACUUGAAGGAACGGACACCUCGGAGCUGCCAGGCGCCUGCGUGUGAAGUUGCUGGCUCGCGGGCAGCGGAGGUUCAGCUGUGAUGAAUGCUACCGAGUUGUUUCACUACUUCCAGAGGCUCAUCCCUCCACCUCCACGCGCUGUGCAGCGAGUUCCAGCCACGGCGUGCUCUCGCAGACAGGCCUCUGCCGCUCAGCAGCUGCGACACUUUGGGAGAGCCACGUGCCUUCUCCGAGCCUGUUUGCUCAUCUGUAAGAGGAUGACCAUGGGCCCUGCCUCGAGGGCUGUCUUGAGGACUCGGUGAGACGAAGCGCGGCAGGCUCUUCAUCCGGUGCUCAUUGCCACAAGUGACACGCUUCUCCCUCGCUCAGAGUCAACAGGAAGACGCCUCCGUCACUCAGAGGGACCCUGGGGAGGUCGAGGGACAGCCCUCGCUUGUCCCGGGAGGAUAAGCCCUGGAUCCUUGCUUCCAGAAACAGCCACCUCUGGGGUCAGGACAGCUCUAAACUGCCCAGGGCUCGGCUCUGUCCCCCCACGGGGCUUCUCCAGGCGUGGGAAGGGGCUGUGCGUGCCAGCCUCACACCCAGCCACUGGCUUCCCGUGUGACUGGAGCCCAGCCGGGUCCAGAGCAGAGCGGCACAGGGCCCUGCCCCCUCCCUGAGUCCCAGCAGCCCCCACCCUCGAUGGCACCCCCGUCUCAGGGAAAGCCUGGCACCCCGGAGAAGGGCAAGGCUAGCAUUUGGCUCUCCCUCCACGCUGUCUCUGCCAGGCGUGGACCUGUGUUAACAGGCCCGUGAGGUACCCUAUUCAGAACCCCUCUGGGGACAAACAAUGCACAUUGCCCACUUGUGUGUGACAACCACCGCCCACCUCUGUGUCACAACCACUGAGCCCACCCAGACAGCACUUCUCUGCCUGCAAACUCCUUUAAGUGCCUUCAUCCAACACUCACAAACAGCCUUCUUUCAGUUCCUCACAUAUGCCACACCCUGUCUGGGCCCAGAGCCCUUGCACAUGCUGUUCCUUCUGCUGAAAACACUCUUCCCUCCCAUCCUCUGCCUGCCAGAUGCCUUCUCUUCCUUUAUGCCUCAGCUCCAAUGUCCUCCCCAGGGAAGCCUCUCUUGGCCACAGUCGCUAAAGUGCACCCCUCCUUCACCCCUGCCUCCCAGCCCCUGCCCGUCUUCUUCACAGCUCACGGCAACUUCGUGUUUCAGCUGCUAAUGUGUAACUGUCUGUCUCCUCAGGUGGCGCCCAGCCCAGGGGCAGGGACCUGGUCUAGUUCACUGAUGUGUCCCUGGCAGGGGAGAGUCGAGCUCCAUAACUAUCUGUCCCGUGGCCGCACGCAUUUCACAGAAAAGAUGACAGAUGUGAAGAGGGACUUGCCCCAGGUCACAAUGGAUGGUGACUGCUGAUGUUGCAUCGUCAGAACUUCCUGAGGACAGGCAGCGGUCUAGGCGCUGAGCCGGACCCCGGGCAUGUGCGGUCUGGAGCCUGGGGGCUGUCAGUCACCUAGAGAUGGGGGCAGGAACUCAGGGAGGCUCGGCCAGGGCAGAGCCACACAGCUAGCUGCGGGCAGAGCUGAAAUUGGAGCCCAGCCAGUCUGGCCCUGCACCGUGCACAGGGCGGUGGGCUGGGACUCCCCUCUUCCCUCCAUACCCCACUCCAUCCACCCCGACCAGGAGAUCAUGCAGAUGUCACCUUCAAAGUAAUUCUGAGACGACGGCUUCUCACCCCUGCCUGCCCCCAGCUAGUCUGAGCCCCCUCAUCACUCACCUGGACCAGCCAGGUAUUCUCCAACUAGCCUCUCUCCGUCUGCCCAUGCCCCUCCUCAGUGUGACCCCCCUACCCAGGAUCUGUGUGACCAGUUAACCUAAGUCACAGCUUCGCCCUUUGCUGCUCAGAACCCUCUACUGGCUCCCAGCUUAUUCUGGGUGAGAGCCUGAAUCCUUACAACGGCCUCAGGUCAGUGAACCUGGGCCUUUCUCUCUCUGAGCUGUCUGCUGCUCUCCCCCUGCUGUGCCACCCCAGACAUGGGACUUCCCCUCUGGGCUUCAAGCACGUCAACCGUGUACCUGCCUCAGGGCCUUUGAACUUGCUAUUCCCUCUGCCCGGAUAGCUGCUUGGGUAACCCACCACCUCCCACAAAGAUUGUUCAAAUCUUGCCUUGUCAAUGAGGACAACCCUGACCACAUCUAAGACGGUGUCUGGCUCAUAGUACAUGCUCAAUAAGUA